rnacentral:rRNA from 1 species
CGGGUGAGUAACACGUGGGUAACCUGCCCAUCAGAAGGGGAUAACACUUGGAAACAGGUGCUAAUACCGUAUAACACUAUUUUCCGCAUGGAAGAAAGUUGAAAGGCGCUUUUGCGUCACUGAUGGAUGGACCCGCGGUGCAUUAGCUAGUUGGUGAGGUAACGGCUCACCAAGGCCACGAUGCAUAGCCGACCUGAGAGGGUGAUCGGCCACACUGGGACUGAGACACGGCCCAGACUCCUACGGGAGGCAGCAGUAGGGAAUCUUCGGCAAUGGACGAAAGUCUGACCGAGCAACGCCGCGUGAGUGAAGAAGGUUUUCGGAUCGUAAAACUCUGUUGUUAGAGAAGAACAAGGAUGAGAGUAAAAUGUUCAUCCCUUGACGGUAUCUAACCAGAAAGCCACGGCUAACUACGUGCCAGCAGCCGCGGUAAUACGUAGGUGGCAAGCGUUGUCCGGAUUUAUUGGGCGUAAAGCGAGCGCAGGCGGUUUCUUAAGUCUGAUGUGAAAGCCCCCGGCUCAACCGGGGAGGGUCAUUGGGAACUGGGAGACUUGAGUGCAGAAGAGGAGAGUGGAAUUCCAUAUGUAGCGGUGAAAUGCGUAGAUAUAUGGAGGAACACCAGUGGCGAAGGCGGCUCUCUGGUCUGUAACUGACGCUGAGGCUCGAAAGCGUGGGGAGCGAACAGGAUUAGAUACCCUGGUAGUCCACGCCGUAAACGAUGAGUGCUAAGUGUUGGAGGGUUUCCGCCCUUCAGU